AUGGAGUGCAGGAGCAAGAUCUCGAGGGAGAGGCGAGCGGAGGAGAGAGUGGCGAGUGGCACUCGGAUGCAGAGGAGGACGAGGAGAGCGACGACCCAAGUGAUGAAGAAGAGGUCGACUCGCCUCCUCACAGAGAAAGAAGGUCCAAGCACGUUCACGACCCGGCAAGCACCCCCGACCUGGUGGCCGCGCCAACUCGGCAGUCUUCAAAGCGCCCUAGGACGUCUUCUCCAGUGCCGACCGAGAAGGCACUGA
rnacentral:rRNA from 1 species